GCCAGAGGGAGAGAGGAAGAGAGAAGCGCCCUCCCCUCCCCGCCAUUCAGGGGGUCUGAGGAGCCCAAAUCCUCUUGGAACACCCCCUCCCCCAUGCUUACAGAGAGGUCACUUCCUCCCAUAGCCCUCCCCACGCCCUCUGUGGUCUGACCGGGGUCAGUGCUCACCUGGCUCUGGACCCCUCUGACGAUCAGAAAGUUCCUCUUCCUCAUGGGAAUCAGUUCCUCUUUCCUACUCAGCCCUUCAGAAAUGCAGAUGUAACCUUUCACCUCCAGGAGAUGGCCUCCGAACUUCCGCUCUCCAGGACUUGCCUGAGACUUUCAUCCAUCAGAAAGCUCCUGCUGCCUCUGUUCCCAGUGUGGACAGCCCGACGUCCAGGGCUCCAAGUGUCCAUUUCUCUGAGCAACUGGGAAAGGAAAAACACAGAUCUGGAAUGAGAUGUGCCCUGGAGAAAGCCAAGAGUUCUCUCAGCCUUGUGUUCACAUGUUUUCCACACAGCGCAGGAGGCAGCGGCAGAGACUUUCAGGUAAGAGCAGCCUUUGGCAUCCACAAGAACCUGGAACCCUCGGUGGGACUCAGGCCUGGGUCCCCAGCCCUCCUGGAGGACCCUGUCUAUAGGAGACUCCAGGCGACAGCCUGGCGAUGAGCCAGGGGAGGGUUUCCUGAUCUGAGCAGGACAGAAAGUG
rnacentral:lncRNA from 10 species